GCUCAACCGGGGAGGGUCAUUGGAAACUGGGGAACUUGAGUGCAGAAGAGGAGAGUGGAAUUCCACGUGUAGCGGUGAAAUGCGUAGAGAUGUGGAGGAACACCAGUGGCGAAGGCGACUCUCUGGUCUGUAACUGACGCUGAGGCGCGAAAGCGUGGGGAGCGAACAGGAUUAGAUACCCUGGUAGUCCACGCCGUAAACGAUGAGUGCUAAGUGUUAGAGGGUUUCCGCCCUUUAGUGCUGCAGCAAACGCAUUAAGCACUCCGCCUGGGGAGUACGGUCGCAAGACUGAAACUCAAAGGAAUUGACGGGGGCCCGCACAAGCGGUGGAGCAUGUGGUUUAAUUCGAAGCAACGCGAAGAACCUUACCAGGUCUUGACAUCCUCUGACAACCCUAGAGAUAGGGCUUCCCCUUCGGGGGCAGAGUGACAGGUGGUGCAUGGUUGUCGUCAGCUCGUGUCGUGAGAUGUUGGGUUAAGUCCCGCAACGAGCGCAACCCUUGAUCUUAGUUGCCAGCAUUCAGUUGGGCACUCUAAGGUGACUGCCGGUGACAAACCGGAGGAAGGUGGGGAUGACGUCAAAUCAUCAUGCCCCUUAUGACCUGUGCUACACACGUGCUACAAUGGGCAGAACAAAG
rnacentral:rRNA from 1 species